AAGACAUCAGUGGGAACAGAGGUGCUGGUUGUUUUCCCACCGACUGUUCUGGUGGGUGGGAGCGACGUCAGCAGGAGGCGCAGCCGAGACUUGGCCCUUCCCUGCGUGGCCGGAGCACUGGGCGGCCAGGGCAGGAAGAGCAGAGCGGGGUGUGGGGAGCACAGCCGGUGGUUACCCAGGGGGUCAGUGCGCCUUGCUUCAUCCCCUCUUUUGCUGUCAGUGAAGCCAAUUAUCCCCAGGUGACAGAGGAAAUUGCCCAGGUCAUGCUGCUGGUGAGUGGUAGCCUGGGGCUGCCCUGGGUGGCCUGGCGGUGCAGCUGAGUUGCUCCAAUGCCACCCUCUUCCCACACAGUCACUGCAGGCAGCCCUGAGGCGUGGAGCAGAUGUGGAGUGGUACCAGGUCCCCCUAUGGGGCAGCCGUGUUAAUUGAGAAGAACAGGGUGGAGGUGGGGGGAACAAGGUGUCAGAACAUGAGGGGCUGAGGACAUUCUCAGGGCAGCAAUGAGUCUUUCUCUGAAGGACUCUACACCAAGGAAUGACAGAAUCAGACCAGUUUAACACAAAUCCCGAAGGUCCCUUCCCCAAAAGGAUCAGCUGCAUUGUCAUGUAAGCAGCUUCUUAGAAGCACAACCCGCCUAUGCAUUGAUUCUCCCCUGUCCCGCUGCCAGGACCCCAGGACACUGUUAUCCUGCAUCGAUUUCAGGUACAUCACCGAUGCUCUAACUGAGCAGGAGGCCUAUGAAAUACUGCAGAAAGGUCAAGUUGGUAAAAAAGAAAGAGAAGAGCAGAUGCUGGCACGCGGCUACCCUGCCUACACCACGUCAUGCGCCUGGCUGGGGUACACAGAUGACACGUUGAAGCAG